CUGCGGAAGAGGCUGGCCCAUCAGGCAUAGCUUCCCAGACUACAUCCAACCAAAAUCUACCAUCUACUUCAUCAGCAUCACUGUCUGAUUUUACUGAUGAAGCAAAGGAUUGGAAAACUGUACCAGGCCCCAUUAAGGCAGCUGAUUUGUACAGGCAAUCUGUAAGUUCAUGCAUCUGAGAAACCUCUGUAUAUGCAUCUUGACCUUACAAGCAGCAUCUCCGACCAAGAAGGCUCUCUCAUUGCUUUUUACAAAGCAUGUCAUGCGAAAUGGGCAUGUCCUCUGAAAACCAGGCUUGAAGGGGAUCCUGCUGUUGGAGAGGGUGUAAACCGUUUUUUAUUUUCAA